rnacentral:rRNA from 1 species
AACUUUCAGCAAUGGAUCUCUUGGCUCUUGCAUCGAUGAAGAACGCAGCGAAAUGCGAUAAGUAAUGUGAAUUGCAGAAUUCAGUGAAUCAUCGAAUCUUUGAACGCACCUUGCACCUUUCAGUUUUCUGAAAGGUACACCUGUUUGAGUAUCA